rnacentral:rRNA from 1 species
UACGUAGGGGGCAAGCGUUGUCCGGAUUUAUUGGGCGUAAAGAGCGUGUAGGCGGCCACACAGGUCUGCUGUGAAAACUCGAGGCUCAACCUCGAGCUGUCGGUGGAAACCGUGUGGCUAGAGUCCGGAAGAGGAGAGUGGAAUUCCCGGUGUAGCGGUGAGAUGCGCAGAUAUCGGGAAGAACACCCGUGGCGAAGGCGGCUCUCUGGACCUCUGCUGACGCUGAGGCGCGAAAGCGUGGGGAGCGAUCCGG